CUGCUGCCUCCCGUAGGAGUUUGGGCCGUGUCUCAGUCCCAAUGUGGCCGUUCACCCUCUCAGGCCGGCUACUGAUCGUCGCCUUGGUGGGCCGUUACCCCACCAACCAGCUAAUCAGACGCGGGUCCAUCUCAUACCACCGGAGUUUUUACCACUGUACCAUGCAGUACUGUGGUCUUAUGCGGUAUUAGCAGUCAUUUCUAACUGUUAUCCCCCUGUAUGAGGCAGGUUACCCACGCGUUACUCACCCGUCCGCCACUAA
rnacentral:rRNA from 1 species